rnacentral:rRNA from 1 species
UGGGGAAUUUUGGACAAUGGGGGAAACCCUGAUCCAGCCAUCCCGCGUGUGCGAUGAAGGCCUUCGGGUUGUAAAGCACUUUUGGCAGGAAAGAAACGUCGCGGGUUAAUACCCCGCGAAACUGACGGUACCUGCAGAAUAAGCACCGGCUAACUACGUGCCAGCAGCCGCGGUAAUACGUAGGGUGCAAGCGUUAAUCGGAAUUACUGGGCGUAAAGCGUGCGCAGGCGGUUCGGAAAGAAAGAUGUGAAAUCCCAGAGCUUAACUUUGGAACUGCAUUUUUAACUACCGGGCUAGAGUGUGUCAGAGGGAGGUGGAAUUCCGCGUGUAGCAGUGAAAUGCGUAGAUAUGCGGAGGAACACCGAUGGCGAAGGCAGCCUCCUGGGAUAACACUGACGCUCAUGCACGAAAGCGUGGGGAGCAAACAGGAUUAGAUACCCUGGUAGUCCACGCCCUAAACGAUGUCAACUAGCUGUUGGGGCCUUCGGGCCUUGGUAGGCGCAGGCUAACGCGUGAAGUUGACCGCCUGGGGAGUACGGUC